GACGAACGCUGGCGGCGUGCUUAACACAUGCAAGUCGAACGGAAAGGCCCUGCUUUUGUGGGGUGCUCGAGUGGCGAACGGGUGAGUAACACGUGAGUAACCUGCCCUUGUCUUUGGGAUAACUUCACGAAACUGGGGCUAUUACCGGAUAGGAUCUCCUGCUGCGUGGUGGGGGUAGGAAAGUUUCGGCGGUUGGGGAUGGACUCGCGGCUUAUGCGCUUGUUGGUGGGGUAGUGGCUGACCAAGGCUUUGACGGGUAGCCGGCCUGGGAGGGUGGACGGGCACAAGGGGACUGCGGGACGGCCCAGAAGCCUACGGGAGGCAGCGGGGGGGAAUAUUGCACAAUGGGCGGGAGCGUGAUGCGGCAACGCCGGGUGCGGGAUGACGGCCUUCGGGUUAUAAACCGCUUUCGCCUGUGACGAAGCGUGAGUGACGGUAAUGAAUAAAGAAGCACCGGCUAACUACGUG
rnacentral:rRNA from 1 species